UACGUAGGGUGCAAGCGUUAAUCGGAAUUACUGGGCGUAAAGCGUGCGCAGGCGGUUUUGUAAGACAGGCGUGAAAUCCCCGGGCUUAACCUGGGAAUUGCGUUUGUGACUGCAAAGCUAGAGUUUGGCAGAGGAGGGUGGAAUUCCAUGUGUAGCAGUGAAAUGCGUAGAUAUAUGGAGGAACACCAAUGGCGAAGGCAGCCCUCUGGGUCAAUACUGACGCUCAUGUACGAAAGCGUGGGGAGCAAACAGG
rnacentral:rRNA from 1 species